UCACCCCUCAAGCCCCCGGCUUGGUGUUGGAUGGUUUGGCGGAGGCCCCUCUCGGGGGCUCCCGCCCCUCCCAAAGACAAUGACGGCGGCCUCGUUAGACCCCCGGUACACUGAGUUCUUCACGGGACACGUACUGGAGUAAGGGUACACGGGGCACGGUCUGCCUCCCCUUCCAGGGAGAAUUUAUUUACAA
rnacentral:misc_RNA from 3 species